ACCAGUGUGGCUCAGCGGUAGAGCGUCGGGCUGCGGACUGGAAGGUCCCGGGUUCGAUUCCCGGCAAGGGCA